UACAGAGGUCCCAAGCGUUGUUCGGAUUCACUGGGCGUAAAGGGUGCGUAGGUGGUAAGGCAAGUCAGGUGUGAAAUCUCCAAGCUCAACUUGGAAACUGCAUUCGAAACUACCUUGCUAGAGGAUUGGAGGGGGACUGGAAUACUUGGUGUAGCAGUGAAAUGCGUAGAUAUCAAGUGGAACACCAGUGGCGAAGGCGAGUCCCUGGAAAAUUCCUGACACUGAGGCACGAAAGCUAGGGGAGCAAACAGG
rnacentral:rRNA from 1 species